rnacentral:rRNA from 1 species
AUUGAACGCUGGCGGCAGGCCUAACACAUGCAAGUCGAGCGGAUGAAGGGAGCUUGCUCCUGGAUUCAGCGGCGGACGGGUGAGUAAUGCCUAGGAAUCUGCCUGGUAGUGGGGGAUAACGUCCGGAAACGGGCGCUAAUACCGCAUACGUCCUGAGGGAGAAAGUGGGGGAUCUUCGGACCUCACGCUAUCAGAUGAGCCUAGGUCGGAUUAGCUAGUUGGUGGGGUAAAGGCCUACCAAGGCGACGAUCCGUAACUGGUCUGAGAGGAUGAUCAGUCACACUGGAGCUGAGACACGGUCCAGACUCCUACGGGAGGCAGCAGUGGGGAAUAUUGGACAAUGGGCGAAAGCCUGAUCCAGCCAUGCCGCGUGUGUGAAGAAGGACUUCGGAUUGUAAAGCACUUUAAGUUGGGAGGAAGGGCAGUAAGUUAAUACCUUGCUGUUUUGACGUUACCAACAGAAUAAGCACCGGCUAACUUCGUG